CCUACGGGAGGCAGCAGUGAGGAAUAUUGGUCAAUGGACGAGAGUCUGAACCAGCCAAGUAGCGUGAAGGAUGACUGCCCUAUGGGUUGUAAACUUCUUUUAUAUGGGAAUAAAACGUUCCACGUGUGGGAUUUUGUAUGUACCAUAUGAAUAAGGAUCGGCUAACUCCGUGCCAGCAGCCGCGGUAAUACGGAGGAUCCGAGCGUUAUCCGGAUUUAUUGGGUUUAAAGGGAGCGUAGGUGGAUUGUUAAGUCAGUUGUGAAAGUUUGCGGCUCAACCGUAAAAGUGCAGUUGAAACUGGCAGUCUUGAGUACAGUAGAGGUAGGCGGAAUGCGUGGUGUAGCGGUGAAAUGCUUAGAUAUCACGAAGAACUCCGAUUGCGAAGGCAGUUCACUGGACUGCAACUGACACUGAGGCUCGAAAGCGUGGGUAUCAAACAGGAUUAGAUACCCUUGUAGUC
rnacentral:rRNA from 1 species